rnacentral:lncRNA from 12 species
AGCUCAUUAAACAAAGGCCUCUUGGUGCCUAUAUCGCCCGUCUCCCCGCUGAGAGCGUAACAUAUUUACGGCCUUUGCAGAUUGCUGGCUGCUGGCGCCUUCCCUUCCCCGUGGCCAGCCUGCCAACUGCUUAUCAGUCUCCCCCAAAGGUGACAUCCUCCUCGUUUGUUUGGGUAGCGAUGGUCCCGUGUCUGACCCUCGGAGGCCAGCAGCAGCGUGAUUAGGAGCGGCUCCUGCACCAGCCAGAUAAAGGCAAUCAGGCUGGGGAAGACAGCGAGGGCUGCUGGGGAGCCUGGCCAGGCGGAGCGCUCCCAUUCAGGAGCACGCUGGCAGUUCGUUAGCGGGACAGCUGGCAAUGUGCAGACCUUGUGGGAUUCCUGCCUCCGAGAAAGCAAACAAGGUUUCGGGAGGUGUUGAGGAGCUAUCUGGGGCUGUGUACAGGGGUGAUCAGAGGCGAUGGCUCCUAAUUACCUGCCUCUUGACUGCCGUUAAACCCUCAUUACACAUCCAAACCCAUAAAAGCCCCUAGGAAUGCAGCACCUUAUACUUAAUUUUUAUGCUUUUCGCCUGCUUUUGCCAAAAGCAUUUUGCCGGGGUCCUGGGAGGACAGAUGAAGACAUCUUGGAGGCAGGAAGAGGCUGCAGGCUGCAUCCAUCUGCCAUUCCAGGAUCUGACAAAGCUGUUUCCUGCUUUUCCCCCUACUGGAUUCAGUAGAAGCUAUGUGACUAGCCUCACAUAGGCCUGGAGUAAUGGGAGAGAAUUCCACAGUGGCCUCAAAGAACACCUGAUGAAAACAUGAUCCCUUUUGAUCUAUUGGGAGAUUUAAAAAUAUUAUGUCAACAUUUUAUUAAUUCAUUUGUAUAGUACAUUUCUUUGGUGUUUGACAUUUGUUUGGCCAUUGGCUUAUUAAAAAUGAGCAUCUAGAAUGCAAUUCUGGCUUGUGUCCCUAAGAAAAGAAAGUUCGAUGACCUCACAGUUUUUACCUUUUUUUUUUAUGUUUUUACUUUUGUCCUCAUUCUUCAUUAUUAAGACAAUCUAAGAAUCCCUCUCACUAAAAAGAAAGUCAUACCAAAAUCGACUUCCUUAAAU